rnacentral:rRNA from 1 species
GCUGAAAACAUAUAACCAUACAAACAUCUAUUAUAGACAAACAAAUCAUUUGACUUACUCAGUAGAGGUGAUCGAACAGUCACACACCACCAAAAAGUACCGCAAGGGAACCGCUUAAGCAACAAACAGCAAAGAUUAACCCUUGUACCUUUUGCAUCAUGGUUUAGCAAGAAACUUAAGGCAAGAUGAAUCAUAGUCUGUACCCCGAAACCAGAUGAGCUACCUCAAAGCAGCCUAAAGGGCAAACCCUUCUCUGUGGCAAAAGAGUGGGAAGACUUUCAGGUAGAGGCGAAACACCUAUCGAAUCUGGAGAUAGCUGGUUACCUAAAAAAGAAUAUAAGUUCUACUUUAGACCAAAACAACACCUGUGUUUAUCUAAAGAAACUCAAUAGGGGUACAGCUCUAUUGAGUCAGGAUACAACCUGAAUUUGAGAGGAACCCUAUAACCCUUACCCGUAGGCCCCAAAGCAGCCACCCAACAAAAUAUCGUUAAAGAAUUCACCAAAACUAAUUCAAAAUAAAACUAAAAACUCCAAACCUACUCAAGGUAAACCUACAUCAGUAGGAAAUCUCCUGCUAAAACUAAUAAUAAGACAACCUCUCCAUACGCAUUCGUCCACUAGAAACAGAAAAUCUACUAGCUAUUAACAGACCUGACUAGGAUACACGCUAACCCAUACACACCCCUACUCCCACUGUGACCCCAACACAGGUGCGUUAAAAAGAAAGAUCAAACACUAUAAAAGGAACUCGGCAACCAAAGACCCCAACUGUUUAACAAAAACAUAACCUUUAGCCACAAAACCAGUAUUAAAGGCAACGCCUGCCCAGUGAACAAUUAAACGGCCGCGGUACCCUAACCGUGCAAAGGUAGCAUAAUCAUUUGUCUAUUAAUUGUAGACCUGUAUGAAAGGCAAAAUGAGGGCCUAACUGUCUCUUAUAGUAAAUCUAUUAAACUGAUCUUCCAGUCCAAAAGCUGGAAUACAACCAUAAGACCAGAAGACCCUGUGAAGCUUAAAUUAAACUAUUAAACCCUAUAAUAGCUCCUUUCGGUUGGGGCGACCUUGGAAAAAAAGAGAACUUCCAAAUAAACGAUAUCAUACAUAUCUUACCCAGGCCAACAAGCCAACAAUGACCCAGCAAAGCUGACAAUUGAACCAAGUUACUCCAGGGAUAACAGCGCUAUCUUCUUCAAGAGCCCAUAUCAAAAAGAAGGUUUACGACCUCGAUGUUGGAUCAGGACAACCUAAUGGUGCAGUCGCUAUUAAGGGUUCGUUUGUUCAACGAUUAACAGUCCUACGUGAUCU